CGACACAGCGAAGGAGAAAAGAAAAUGGAGGUUUUACAAUCAAAUCUUCCAAUGCUUAUAACUUGAGCUAAAGACCUCCAAAUCACUUCGUUCCAAAGCCAAACUGUGAGAAAUUUCGAGGGGAAUCCAUUGGUACCAGUAUUUCUGGGUGGGGUUCACUGUAGAGAGAGAUCUUCUUCGCCAAAGAUUUCAAAUUUCAUGGAAAAGAUAGAUUUUGAUGGAGCUUGAGGCCAUUGGAACUUAGAAACUCAUCUCUCAUUUGUUCUAGAGUGCAUUGUGGUGUGCCUAGGGACUGUGAACGUUUGGAUUCUCGUGGAGCAAGAUAAGUAGCUUGUUCUUCAAGUAAGCAGAUUGUAAAGCUCCAAGAGGAACACAGUUAAUUGAAGAGCCUUCAUGGGACAAGGACACUACCCGUGGCUAGAGGUACUAGUAUGAGGAUAUGGAGUUCUGGGUGGCCGGAUGCUACUAUUUAUUAUAGAUGUUAUUUUUGGAGAAUAUGUACUGUUAUAUAGUGUUCUAUUCAUUUUGGGAUCAUGAUGUUUGAUCCAUUAUACAAUAUAUGGUUCGUAUAUGUUUUGUAUAUGUGUUCAUAUUUGAUGCAUGCACAUUUGUGUAUUCAGAUAUGUGCAUGUACUGAAAUAUGUAUGUUGUUAGACAUAGUGGCACGGAGCCAGUUAUGCAU